GCCGAAGUGGUGGAACUGGCAGACACGCUAGAUUCAGGGUCUAGUGGGGUUUUACCCGUGCGAGUUCGAAUCUCGCCUUCGGCA
rnacentral:tRNA from 1 species